rnacentral:rRNA from 1 species
UGGAGAAUCCCGUGAACCAUCAAGUUUCUGAACGCAAGUUGCGCCUGAAGCCAUUAAGCCGAUGGUGACCUGCCUAGGCGUCACACGCUGUUGCCCCUCUGGCACCUCCUUUGGAAGCGUCGGUGAGCGGACGAUGGCUUUCAGUAUGUCACCACAUAUGGUUGGCACACAUGUUUAGUCCCUGGCGACGAACGCCACGACAAUCGUUGGUUGUCAAACCUCGGUUGCUUGUUGUGCACUUUCACCGAGCUCUGGGCGGCUCACGAUGCUCACUGCUUUACUUCGGCGGAGCCUUCAACGCGACCCCAGGUUAGGCAGGGUUACCCACUAAAUUUAA